AAAACAUUCGGACCGUCAGUCUAUUGAGCAAUUUCAUCCGCUCGAAGAAAGAUCUUCCCUUUGUUAA
rnacentral:pre_miRNA from 1 species